UACGUAGGGUGCAAGCGUUGUCCGGAAUUAUUGGGCGUAAAGGGCUCGUAGGCGGUUCGUCGCGUCGGGAGUGAAAACCUCGGGCUUAACUCGGGGCUUGCUUUCGAUACGGGCAGACUGGAGGUAUGCAGGGGAGAACGGAAUUCCUGGUGUAGCGGUGAAAUGCGCAGAUAUCAGGAGGAACACCGGUGGCGAAGGCGGUUCUCUGGGCAUGACCUGACGCUGAGGAGCGAAAGUGUGGGGAGCGAACAGG
rnacentral:rRNA from 1 species